CGGGGCCGCGGCGGGGGAGGCGCUGCCUCGGCGGCGCUGGAGCGAGCGAGGGACCGCGCCAGAGCCCGGGCCGGGCCGGGCCGCCGCCGCCGGCUGCAGCGCCGCGCGGACAAAGCCGAGGCAGAGGCUGCCUCAAAGGGGAAAAGCAGGCUCCCGCCUCGCCGCUCAGCGCUGGGCUGGGGCCGGCGGCGCGCACGUGUGCCGGGCGCUUCUCGCCUUUGUUAGCGGAGCCCACGGCACGCGGGCCCCCUCCACUGGCGGCCCGGCUCCGCGUGGGCUCGGCCGCGGCGCGGGGAGGCUUCAGCCCGCCGCUCUCCUUCCCCCGCUGCUGCUCCUCCAUUGUUGCUUCUCGGGGUCUCCGCGGGGGCAGCGAGCACGCGGCGGCCCCAGCCCCUGCCCCUGCCCGCCGCUUCCUGCGCGGGGCAGCGCAGGGCCGGGCCGGGGAGAGCCGAAGCUCUUGGCUUUCCGGACAAACUGAAAGCGGCCGCGAGCUAGAGGCCGGCCGCCCUGCAUGUGGCGGGCCGGGGUAAAAUCAGCGUCGUGCUGAAAUGUAAAGUCCACUCCCGCGAGUGUCUGGGGCCAGUCGGUUCCCGAGACCCCCCGCUCCGAGGACCUCCCCUCCCGGGCUUCCAGCACUCGUGUCGCGGAUUUCUGUGCAGUCCACAUCUGUCGAGUCGCUGCGCCGGGCUCUGCUCCUCUUCGACCCGCCGGCGGCGCGGAGCCCGGGCCCAGCCCAAGGCUUCGCUAGGCCGAGCGGCCCGGGCCGGGGGAGAGGGACCUGCCGAGCUGCCAGUCCAUUCUCUCAAAACAGGAUGUUUCCAUCCAAGCUUCGGCCGCUGUUCCCCAAAGAUCUCCGCACAGUGGAGUUGGGAAGCACGUGGAGAUCAAGCCGCGUUAGUAGCUGCCCCUCGAGUCACCGCAGCGUGCUUUGGCCCGCCAGCUCCUUCCUUUUUGUGCCUGGGGCAGCGCACACACACGUGUGUGUACCUGGCCGUGAUGCCCUCCCUCCACCCCGCAGCAGCCGGACCGGCUCCCCACUCCGUGUCCCACGGGGCUCGCAGUGCUUGGCCCAUUCCCCUCGUGCUGCUCCGGGUUUCUCGCUGCCAGCUUCUAGUAAACCGGAACCUACUGGUGGCUUGUGCCAAAAUGCAGUUUAACGACUGGUGCGAGGGCACCGUGGCGAGCUGGCUUUCCUCCCAGCUGGAAGAAACCUGGCUUCAGGAAAGGUUUUGAGCAAGCAGAUACCAGGGCGUCCCCCCAGUGUGUUUGCUGGGGUCCCGGGCUCUGGAGGAGAUUGCGGAUGAACUUUAAGGGUGAGAGCAGCCCAUAACCUGAGCGAGCAUGUGUUUCGUAUUUACCGACGCUGCCUUUGCUCUGCUAAGAUUUAGUAGGAAACUGUCCGAGACAAUGGCCAAACUAAAAACGUUAUCUAGUAAACUCCGCCGAAAGGGGUUGCCCCACUUGUGAAAUGCCCAUUUCCAUUUCCAUGUACAUGGCAGGGCAAGGACAAGCAGUGAUAACGUGUCAGUCAACAUACCGUUUUCCGGAUCAUUGGGGGGAGGGGGGAUCGUGUCUGAAUCUACUGUGGACGUUUGAAGUGGGAUAUUAUAACCAGAAGAAGGAUUUUCAGAUUGUUUCCAACUGUAAUAUAUUUGUCCUCAUCAAAAUCUGCUAGGUUCACUUGAGGAAAUAUGAUGUUCAUAGUAAAUGAUGUGGAAGAAAAAACAGCGGUAUUUAACACACACUAUAAAAUCAUGUCUGAUCUUCCAGGCUAUGAUCUCAUCGGCUCUUGUGUAUUUUAAGAGAGGUUUAUUAGUGAUGGUCAGGGGUUUGCAGUUGAUAGUAGUACAAUAUCAUUAAUUAGUUUAUGAUUCCGGUGUCCCUAUUCCAUAAAGGACCAUAUCGCAUAUAUUUAAUUCUAAACAGGCAAUAUCGUUAAACUCACAUUUCUCUAUAUACCUCUGCAGAUGUAGAUGAUUUAAAAUACUAUCUCGGUAAUAUGAGGCAUCUGACAUCCUGAAAUCCUCGCAGAGGACAUUAUCAAGUAGUUCUGCACUGGAAAUGUUUGCUGGAAGUGGGUAUGGGUUUAUUACACCUCUUAAAGUGGGGAAGCUUGGUGGGUUCUCUUGAUAAGGAUCUGGGAGCACUUAAAAAUAAUAAAAAAGCGAACGUGUUGGCCAACAGGGUUCAAAGAGGCCCCUGUCUUUCCAAAGGCCAGUGUCUCCGUGUACAGGGGCCGCACACACGCGCGGCUGUUCCCCCGCGGAGCUGUGUUUCUGCCACGACCUGCGGUCCUGGAUUUAAUCGUGCUGGUGAACGCUCAGUUUAAGCAAGCGCUUAGCGGUAUUUGCGACCCCCUGCAACUUCCAGCUGAACCCGCUCACGAGCUGCAACGUAAUUCUCUUGUGACUGCUGGCUGCUGUGACUUCACACGACCUGCAAAUCCAAGAUGCCUUUCAGACCGAGUUUACGGCCUGUAUUUGGUUAUGAAAUGCUGAUUGCAUCUGAUUAUCUAAAAAAAAAAGACGAACUACAUAAACAUCUGAUACUUCGUAUUAGAAUCAAGCACAGUGAUAAUUGCAAAGAGCUGUUUUUAAUUUUACUCCAAGUGUUUACAUAUCAACAUGUGGUAAAUUUGUCUUCACAGAGAAAGUUUUGAUUUUCCCCAUUAACAAUCAAUAAUGUUAAUGGCUUUGUAUAGACCUGGUAGAGAUUACAAUUUCUUCAUCUCCGCCCAUCUCAAAUUAUUGAAGAGAAAAGCGUAUGUGGAGAAAGAAAAAGCAUUCCCCUUUAAAUUGAAGAAGAUUAACUGGCUCCAUAGGCGCUUAAGGAUUCCUAGUGGACACUGCUGAGUUCAGCAGGAGAGUUUCCCUCCACAGCGGAGUAUAAAGAAAUACUGGCAAUUUAGCUUUGCUUUUAUUUCUAUUUUAAAAUCUUUAUUUUUUUUUCCACAGACACCUUUAAGGAUCAAAACGAGCACAUGCAACUGGCCGCGCUCAUUUUGAAACUUCGCUCCAAGAAAAGCUCGACUAUGGUGAAAACCGCAGACUUUUCCUUGCUCUUUCUGAAUCAUGUUCUCCAAUACGCAGUAUUUAUAUUGUAAAACAAACACUGCCUUAAGCGAGCUAAAGCAGAGGAAAUCAGAGCUACUGAGAGCAGGGGGUCCUUGGCUCUCCCCCUCUCUACAAAGGCGUUGCGGGGGUCCCAGGCUCUGCCACAGCACAAGAUCUAGGCUUCCCCGAGGUGGACGAUUGCCCCCAGCCGAGGAUCUGCCACCCCAGCUAUCACAAUAGCAUCAAACGGAGCACAAGGGUAAUAGCAACUUUUCAAACUUUUUAAACCACAAAACUGCUAACGUUACCGAAGCACCAACUUCCUGCAGCAGUUUCUGGUUUAAAGUUUCAGGUGUGGGUGCUUCAAGGCGGUGAAUAUACUCAUCAGAAAGCUCCAGCCGUGGCCGGAGCUAGGUGUAUGGAGAUACAUGUCUCUGCGUCAAGAGGUGAAAUAUUUUUGAGCAUACGUUUACCAAAAAAAAAAAAAAAGCAUCUAGGCUAGAAACCUGUGGGGUUAUGGGGUUAUAACAAAAGGAAAAGAGGCCAGAAAGAAAUAUCCCACAGUGGAUUACGAGGUUAUGGGACAGGUCACGGAAGGAAAGUUAAACAAAAAGCAAGGGUACAUUAUAUAAACCUCACAUAAUUAAAAAUAUAGUUAGUCCUAAUGUUGGCUCUGUAUCCACAAAUAUUCAUUUCAUGUGUUAAUCACAUGGCUUUUUAUUUAAUGGGACUAUCUCCUGUUAAUAUACCUCAUGUACUCAGUGUUUUAUUUUUUUGCUUUAUGGGAAAGCUGACCACAACUUUUAACGAUCUUUAAUUUAAUGAGGACUAGCAUAAAAAUCGAAGUGAAAUAUGCACGUACAGAGCUCGCCAGAGAGACAGGCAGGCAGCGAGGAAACCCGGCCAUACAAAGAGACGACUCGAAGACAGUCACAUAUUAAAUAUUGGAGCGAUCGAUUUCAAUACCUUGAGCGGACACGGGAAUAAAACCCCCCGUCCCCCCGCCCAGAUGAAGGGAUUAGGAAUGCUUUGUUGGGGAGGAACGAAAUGCGAUUUUCGGCAGAUCCUGUUUGUUCGGGUUAGCGGAGGGCCGGGCAAUCCGCUUUCAAGCGCUAGGCUCCCGCUUUGGGACAUCACCCGAAAGAGGCACACGGACGCACACACGACAGGACGAUGUGUUGCACCGAGGACGUUGGGAGCGUGGUUCCAGAGACAGUGGUUGCCAGUGCUAACGGUUUCUCUUUCAGUUACCAAACCUGGACACUGCUUCAAGUCGGUGUUCUCGCACCGCAGACACACGGAGAUUAUUUAUUCAGCACCCGGGAAUAAGAAUCCUUCUGGGCUCAGGCAUCAGACCAAAUAGAUUCGGUGCGCACAGGUUAAAAACCAGAUGCCGAUCUAAAUGUUCCAUUAUAAUGUAACAAUUAGGAACGCGACCGGCCCUUCAGCGCCUCGGCACAUCCAGAUCUCAUCUUCACGUGGAGACAUCUUGGUUUUAAUUAACGACUGCUUUAUUCUCAUUAUUCACAAGGAAAAAUAGGGGUCACGUCGCAUUAAAAUUAAGAUUAUUUUAA